rnacentral:rRNA from 1 species
AACGAACGCUGGCGGCAUGCCUAACACAUGCAAGUCGAACGAGACCUUCGGGUCUAGUGGCGCACGGGUGCGUAACGCGUGGGAACCUGCCCUUAGGUUCGGAAUAACUCCCCGAAAGGGGUGCUAAUACCGGAUAAUGUCUUCGGACCAAAGAUUUAUCGCCUUUGGAUGGGCCCGCGUUGGAUUAGCUAGUUGGUAGGGUAAAAGCCUACCAAGGCGACGAUCCAUAGCUGGUCUGAGAGGAUGAUCAGCCACACUGGGACUGAGACACGGCCCAGACUCCUACGAGAGGCAGCAGUGGGGAAUAUUGGACAAUGGGCGAAAGCCUGAUCCAGCAAUGCCGCGUGAGUGAUGAAGGCCUGAGGGUUAAAGCUCUUUUACCCGGGAUGAUAAUGACAGUACCGGGAGAAUAAGCGCCGGCUAACUCCGUG